AAGGGAGACCUAAUUCAGGUAGGAGACGAAAAAAAAGUAGUCCCAACCAAGAAUCAAUCCCAAAAGGUCGGAGCGAGGCGAAAUUGGCUUUCAAACUAGGUUCUGGGUUCACACAAGACCUGAAUCAGGAACAAGGGCUAUUAGCUCAGGUGGUUAGAGCGCACCCCUGAUAAGGGUGAGGUCCCUGGUUCGAGUCCAGGAUGGCCCACCUGCACAGGUGGCAAAAACAAGAGAAGCGAGGAAUCAGCACCUUAUCUUAUCUAUAUAUAUAUAGGAGAGAAUGCUGGCUCUGAGUAAAGAGUCCAGAGGAACCUUGAAAACUGCAUAGAGCUAGGCGAAAAAGCCAAAAAAGAAGACCGCAA
rnacentral:tRNA from 1 species